AUCCAACUGACGAAUGAAAAAUAGGACGAAAUGCAUGUCUUGGAU
rnacentral:hammerhead_ribozyme from 1 species